UUGCCGCAGGAGGGUCGCCGACACGAGUUGCUGGCUUGCUGCCUGGCUUAACGGUGACGCGGGCAGGGCACCAUGGUGCUAUCUGACCCCCUGCCUUGCUUCUGCCGGAUGCGGGCUCUCUCCACUCCUCAUGCAUCCGCCGUGUUGGUCCAAGCAGAGGACGAAGUCCAGCCCUUGCCAACAAGCUCAUAAUGAUUUCAGAAGUACGGUCUAAUGGAAGGGUGGAGGAAGAUUUUUGAAAUGGCAAAGUCGUCAGCAAGGACAUGAGACAAGAGGUCUGACCGAACUACGUCAGUCAACUACGUCAGGUGCACCUUGACCUUCUGCCUGAGCAGAUGAACUAGCCACUGCCCUGGAUGUUGUGUCGUCCUCCAGUCCCACUCUGCUGCUUCUGACCAAGCACCUCAAACCAAGACUGAUUGCUUUAUUAUUGUGAUCGGUCAAUACAAUAUUGGUAUAUAUGUCUUGUAUAGUGCCCUUUUGCAUUAGUUUUCUCAUAUUUGCGGAGUGUGCAAAUGAGUUUCUUCUUACCUUUACUCAUUAAUAAUAGUAGUGAGCGAUUCUCUGUGUUUUGAGUUAUCUAUUGGAUCAAUGUAUUUUCUGGAUUUAUGAUGUUCAUUUUCAAAGUGAUAUUUGUACUAUGUUCGAAUUUUGAUGCAAGUUUUAACAUGUCAAUGGGAUCAUUAUGGCUUGAU